rnacentral:rRNA from 1 species
UUGAACGCUGGCGGCAUGCUUUACACAUGCAAGUCGAACGGCAGCGGGGGCUUCGGCCUGCCGGCGAGUGGCGAACGGGUGAGUAAUGCAUCGGAACGUACCCAGUCGUGGGGGAUAACUACGCGAAAGCGUAGCUAGUACCGCAUACGUCCUGAGGGAGAAAGCGGGGGAUCUUCGGACCUCGCGCGAUUGGAGCGGCCGAUGUCGGAUUAGCUAGUAGGUGAGGUAAAGGCUCACCUAGGCGACGAUCCGUAGCGGGUCUGAGAGGAUGAUCCGCCACACUGGGACUGAGACACGGCCCAGACUCCUACGGGAGGCAGCAGUGGGGAAUUUUGGACAAUGGGCGCAAGCCUGAUCCAGCCAUGCCGCGUGAGUGAAGAAGGCCUUCGGGUUGUAAAGCUCUUUCGGCCGGGAAGAAAUCGUGGUCUCUAACAUAGGCCAUGGAUGACGGUACCGGACUAAGAAGCACCGGCUAACUACGU